AGCGAACGCUGGCGGCAGGCUUAACACAUGCAAGUCGAACGCCCCGCAAGGGGAGUGGCAGACGGGUGAGUAACACGUGGGAACGUACCCUUUGGUUCGGAAUAACUUGGGGAAACUCAAGCUAAUACCGGAUAAGCCCUUAUGGGGAAAGGUUUACUGCCGAAGGAUCGGCCCGCGUCUGAUUAGCUAGUUGGUGAGGUAAUGGCUCACCAAGGCGACGAUCAGUAGCUGGUCUGGGAGGAUGAUCAGCCACACUGGGACUGAAACACGGCCCAGACUCCUACGGGAGGCAGCAUUGGGGAAUAUUGGACAAUGGGGGCAACCCUGAUCCAGCCAUGCCGCGUGAGUGAUGAAGGCCUUAGGGUUGUAAAGCUCUUUUACCCGGGACGAUAAUGACUGUACCGGGAGAAUAAGCCCCGGCUAACUUCGUGCCAGCCGCCGCCGUAA
rnacentral:rRNA from 1 species